AUCGCUUCUCAGCCUUUUGGCUAAGAUCAAGUGUAGAAGACGCCCAGCUUGUUGGUAAUCCCUGGUAUUUCCUCCAGGUAGAUCAUUAACACCCUGGAUUGAAUUAGAAGAUGUUCAACUGGUUGGUAAUUCCUGAUAUUUCCUCCAGGUAGAACAUUGUCAUCCUGGAUUAAAUUAGAAGAU